rnacentral:rRNA from 1 species
AGAUCAAACACGAGUGGCCGUCUCCUCUUCCCUAGCGGAAGUCCUGUUGCUCGUUUUGCUCGGGACGUAGUUGGGGGGAAAUACAGAGUCGGUUAAGAUAUGACCGUAGCAGCUUCGCAAGGAGACUGACGCCCUAGUUCCGUAGGUGAACCUGCGGAAGGAU